CGCGCAGGCGGGUCAAUAAGUCAGAGGUGAAAUCCUACAGCUCAACUGUAGAACUGCCUUUGAUACUGCUGAUCUUGAGUAUGGAAGAGAGAGACGGAAUUCCAGGUGUAGUGGUGAAAUACGUAGAUAUCUGGAAGAACACCAGUUGCGAAGGCGGUCUCUUGGUCCAAUACUGACGCUGAGGCGCGAAAGCGUGGGUAGCAAACA
rnacentral:rRNA from 1 species